CACUGGCUUACGUCUCCACUCUUUUCACUGCUUCAUGAAUAGACCCCUAAGAGAAAUGCUGGAGGAGAGCAUUGUGUCCCUCCUGGAGAGGGUCAUGCUGGGAGGUAUGCGAUAGGAGAGCAGUUCCCUGCUGCCCCACUGAGGCACAUCCACUCUCUCAUACUGUACUUUAUCCUGCUGGAGCAGAAUGAUGUAUCUGCUGCCGGAAGGCCCAAUGUAGAGACUUGAGGAAGUGUUUCCAGCAUAAAAUAAAAUGUGUGUGCAUUACACGAGUGGCUGCAUCAGUACUUGAGGAUGUCCCAUAUACAGCCUGAUAGACUGUGAGUCCUCUAUACCAGCCGAUUAUAGUGAACAAUGACAAGGUAUCUGUUGACGAUGCAUUGAACGUCACAGAUGUAUUUGUAUUUAUUGCCGACUCGACUGAACUGAUGUCACCUGUCUUGAGAGGUCCGGUCACGGACCGAAACGUUGACACGAAUAAA